GUACUAUCGAGGAAAUUGAUUCCCAGGCAGUUGACGUACCUACGUCAUAUGGUCGGCUUAUGUCAAUUCAAUGUUAGCUUUAUGGUGCGUCG